GACGUAGGUGGCGAACGUUAUCCGGAAUUAUUGGGCGUAAAGGAUGCGUAGAUGGUGUAGUAAGUUAUCGGUGGUAAAUCGAGGCUCAACCUCGUGGAAGUCGGUAAUACUGCUAUGCUAGAGGAUAGGAGAGGUUAACGGAACUCCCUGUGGAGCGGUGAAAUGCGUAGAUAUAGGGAAGAACACCAAUAAGGCGAAGGCAGUUAACUAUUCUACUCCUGACAUUGAGGCAUGGAAAGCGAUGGGGAGCAAAACGGGA
rnacentral:rRNA from 1 species